UACGAAGGGGGCUAGCGUUGCUCGGAAUCACUGGGCGUAAAGGGCGCGUAGGCGGCGUUUUUAAGUCGGGGGGUGAAAGCCUGUGGCUCAACCACAGAAUGGCCUCGAUACUGGGACGCUUGAGUAUGGUAGAGGUUGGUGGAACUGCGAGUGUAGAGGUGAAAUUCGUAGAUAUUCGCAAGAACACCAGUGGCGAAGGCGGCUCACUGGCCCGAUACUGACGCUGAUGCACGAAAGCGUGGGGAGCAAACAGG
rnacentral:rRNA from 1 species